rnacentral:tRNA from 1 species
GGGGUGGUAGCUCAGUGGAAGAGUGCUUGCCUUGCAUGCAUGAGUCCCUGGGUUCAAUUCCUCAGCACCACA